UAAUACGGAGGGUGCAAGCGUUAUCCGGAUUCACUGGGUUUAAAGGGUGCGUAGGUGGGUUGGUAAGUCAGUGGUGAAAUCUCCGUGCUUAACAUGGAAACUGCCAUUGAUACUACUGGUCUUGAAUUUUCUGGAGGUUAGCGGAAUAUGUCAUGUAGCGGUGAAAUGCUUAGAUAUGACAUAGAACACCAAUUGCGAAGGCAGCUAGCUACAGGGAUAUUGACACUGAGGCACGAAAGCGUGGGGAUCAAACAGGAUUAGAUACCCUGGUAGUCCACGCCCUAAACGAUGGAUACUCGACAUUUGUGAUACACAAUAAGUGUCUGAGCGAAAGCAUUAAGUAUCCCACCUGGGAAGUACGACCGCAAGGUUG
rnacentral:rRNA from 1 species